GAACUCUAACAUCAAUUUCGGUCGUCAUAAAAUGAUUGGAGGAAUGUAGCUUUGAUCUAAAACGUAUCGAAGUGUUAUAGACUCUGGUAGAUGUGACGGUUGGGAUUGAGGAUUGCAACGGAUACCCUUCGGGGCUACCCGUCUGAUCUCUGAAGGUUGCUCCGGUGCCGAAAGCGUGCUUACGGUCAUCGAAAGUGAUUUUACAAAAAGGUUA
rnacentral:rRNA from 1 species